rnacentral:rRNA from 1 species
GGACCCGCUGCCCAAACUUGCAAGUUCGAAGCGGACAGAAGGGAAGCUUGCUCCCGGAUGUUAGCGGCGGACGGGUGAGUAACACGUGGGUAACCUGCCUGUAAGACUGGGAUAACUCCGGGAAACCGGAGCUAAUACCGGAUAGUUCCUUUGAACCGCAUGGUUCAAGGAUGAAAGACGGUUUCGGCUUGUCACUUACAGAUGGACCCGCGGCGCAUUAGCUAGUUGGUGGGGUAAUGGCUCACCAAGGCGACGAUGCGUAGCCGACCUGAGAGGGUGAUCGGCCACACUGGGACUGAGACACGGCCCAGACUCCUACGGGAGGCAGCAGUAGGGAAUCUUCCGCAAUGGACGAAAGUCUGACGGAGCAACGCCGCGUGAGUGAUGAAGGUUUUCGGAUCGUAAAGCUCUGUUGUUAGGGAAGAACAAGUGCGAGAGUAACUGCUCGCACCUUGACGGUACCUAACCAGAAAGCCACGGCUAACUACGUGCCAGCAGCCGCGGUAAUACGUAGGUGGCAAGCGUUGUCGGGAAUUAUUGGGCGUAAAGGGCUCGCAGGCGGUUUCUUAAGUCUGAUGUGAAAGCCCCCGGCUCAACCGGGGAGGGUCAUUGGAAACUGGGAAACUUGAGUGCAGAAGAGGAGAGUGGAAUUCCACGUGUAGCGGUGAAAUGCGUAGAGAUGUGGAGGAACACCAGUGGCGAAGGCGACUCUCUGGUCUGUAACUGACGCUGAGGAGCGAAAGCGUGGGGAGCGAACAGGAUUAGAUACCCUGGUAGUCCACGCCGUAAACGAUGAGUGCUAAGUGUUAGGGGGUUUCCGCCCCUUAGUGCUGCAGCUAACGCAUUAAGCACUCCGCCUGGGGAGUACGGUCGCAAGACUGAAACUCAAAGGAAUUGACGGGGGCCCGCACAAGCGGUGGAGCAUGUGGUUUAAUUCGAAGCAACGCGAAGAACCUUACCAGGUCUUGACAUCCUCUGACAACCCUAGAGAUAGGGCUUUCCCUUCGGGGACAGAGUGACAGGUGGUGCAUGGUUGUCGUCAGCUCGUGUCGUGAGAUGUUGGGUUAAGUCCCGCAACGAGCGCAACCCUUGAUCUUAGUUGCCAGCAUUCAGUUGGGCACUCUAAGGUGACUGCCGGUGACAAACCGGAGGAAGGUGGGGAUGACGUCAAAUCAUCAUGCCCCUUAUGACCUGGGCUACACACGUGCUACAAUGGACAGAACAAAGGGCUGCAAGACCGCAAGGUUUAGCCAAUCCCAUAAAUCUGUUCUCAGUUCGGAUCGCAGUCUGCGAACUCGACUGCGUGAAGCUGGAAUCGCAGUAAUCGCGGAUCAGCAUGCCGCGGUGAAUACGUUCCCGGGCCUUUAGCACCGCCCGUCACACCACGAGAGUUUGCAACCCCGAGUCGGUGAGGUACCUUUAGGAAGCCAGCCGCGAAAGGUGAAAGU